GGACCUGACUGCUAUCGGAUUGAUACUAAGCCAUGCGAGUCAUUGUAGCAAUACAAGGCAUACGGCUCAGUAACGCGUAGUCAACCUAACCUAUGGACGGGAAUAACCUCGGGAAACUGAGAAUAAUGCCCGAUAGAACAUUAUGCCUGGAAUGGUUUAUGUUCCAAAUGAUUUAUCGCCGUAGGAUGGGACUGCGGCCUAUCAGUUUGUUGGUGAGGUAAUGGCCCACCAAGACUAUUACAGGUACGGGCUCUGAGAGGAGUAGCCCGGAGAUGGGUACUGAGACACGGACCCAGGCCCUAUGGGGCGCAGCAGGCGAGAAAACUUUGCAAUGUGCGAAAGCACGACAAGGUUAAUCCGAGUGGUUUCUGCUAAAGAAACCUUUUGUCAGUCCUAGAAACACUGAUGAAUAAGGGGUGGGCGAGUUCUGGUGUCAGCG
rnacentral:rRNA from 1 species